rnacentral:rRNA from 1 species
GACGAACGCUGGCGGCGUGCUUAACACAUGCAAGUCGAACGCUGAAGCUCAGCUUUUGUUGGGUGGAUGAGUGGCGAACGGGUGAGUAACACGUGAGUAACCUGCCUCCUUCUUUGGGAUAACGCCCGGAAACGGGUGCUAAUACUGGAUAUUCACUGGUCUUCGCAUGGGGGUUGGUGGAAAGGGUUUUUCUGGUGGGGGAUGGGCUCGCGGCCUAUCAGCUUGUUGGUGGGGUGAUGGCCUACCAAGGCUUUGACGGGUAGCCGGCCUGAGAGGGUGACCGGUCACAUUGGGAAUGAGAUACGGCCCAGACUCCUACGGGAGGCAGCAGUGGGGAAUAUUGCACAAUGGGCGCAAGCCUGAUGCAGCGACGCCGCGUGAGGGAUGGAGGCCUUCGGGUUGUGAACCUCUUUCGCUCAUGGUCAAGCCGCAACAAUGGUUGUGGUGAGGGUAGUGGGUAAAGAAGCGCCGGCUAACUACGUG